CGCAAACUCUCAGCACCUUCGGAUCGACGAGUUCAAUCGAAAGAUCCGUGCCUUCAGGACGCGCCUGCGCCAGAGCCAGCCCGUGAUCGAGCUGCACAAUCAAGACCGCGCAAAACAUCGAGAACGCCCACGCUCCGCGCGAUGCGGCUAUCGCCAUCGCGGUCUCCUUGUCGAUUAUCGCCAGCGCGCUGCGCCAUUCGCCCUUGCUCAG
rnacentral:misc_RNA from 1 species